ACACUACCAUCAAAGAAAGACAGCUCUCAAAUGGAUUUGCUGGUCUAUGAUGACCAAGUAGAAGCAUCCGUUCCACAUAGGUGAGAGCCUAGUCUUGCAUAGGCGCAAGCUCUUCUCAAAAGAAUUUAGUUUACAGGAUUCCGUCAUCCGUUUGUUUUGUUUUGAAUUGACAUAGAGAAAUCUUUCUCGCAUUCCCUUAAUUCAGGAAUAGGUGGCGAAGGCUACUUGUUCCUUGGCGGACUAUAUAUAAAGGAAAGGGGUUAUUUUUCCUUUACGGCAAUAAGAGUUGAUUCCCUUGCUUGUAGUUUUUGAUCGAUUCCGUGUAUUUAACAUAUUUAAGAGUGGUUAGGAGAGAGAAUCAAUGUUUAGUAGUAGGCCCGGUUCAUCAGGUUCUACCACUGUUCGGCCCAAUCAUAGUCAAAAUCUGAGUUUGAUCCUGGCUCAGAAGGAACGCUAGCUAUAUGCUUAACACAUGCAAGUCGAACGUUGUUUUCGGGGAGCUGGGCAGAAGGAAAAGAGGCUCCUAGCUAAAGUUGUCUCACCCUGCUUCAAAACUAUAGGGCGCACGCUACGGCUUUGACCUAACGGCCUCCGUUUCCUGGAAUCGGAAUAGUUGAGAACAAAGUGGCGAACAGGUGCGUAACGCGUGGGAAUCUGCCGAACAGUUCGGGCCAAAUCCUGAAGAAAGCUCAAAAGUGCUGUUUGAUGAGCCUCCAUAGUAUUAGGUAGUUGGUCAGGUAAAGGCUAACCAAGCCAAUGAUGCUUAGCUGGUCUUUUCAGAUGAUCAGCCACACUGGGACUGAGACAUGGCCCAAACUCCCAUGGGGGGCAGCAAUGGGGAAUCUUGGACAAUGGGCGAAAGCCCGAUCCAGCAAUAUUGCGUGAGUGAAGAAGGGCAAUGCCGCUUGUAAAGCUCUUUCAUCGAGUGCGCGAUCAUGACAGGACUCGAGGAAGAAGCCCCGGCUAACUCCGUGCCAGCAGCCGCGGUAAGGAGGGGGGGGGCAAGUGUUCUUCGGAAUGACUGGGCGUAAAGGGCACGUAGGCGGUGAAUCGGGUUGAAAGUGAAAGUCGCCAAAAAGUGGCAGAAUGCUCUCAAAACCAAUUCACUUGAGUGAGACAGAGGAGAGUGGAAUUUCGUGUGUAGGGGUGAAAUCUGUAGAUCUACGAAGGAACGCCAAAAGCGAAGGCAGCUCUCUGGGUCCCUGCCGACGCUGGGGUGCGAAAGCAUGGGGAGCGAACAGGAUUAGAUACCCUGGUAGUCCAUGCCGUAAACGAUGAGUGUUCACCCUUGGUCUACGCGGAUCAGGGGCCCAGCUAACGCAUGAAACACUCCGCCUGGGGAGUACGGUCGCAAGACCGAAACUCAAAGGAAUUGACGGGGGCCUGCACAAGCGGUGGAGCAUGUGAGAGCGGAAGAGCGACGUGUAGGGAGAGAG